GUGUGCGUUGUUCGAAACCAUCCAACGUAAAAAAACUAGGAGGAA
rnacentral:ncRNA from 1 species